rnacentral:rRNA from 1 species
UAGUGGCGCACGGGUGAGUAACACGUGGGAAUCUACCCAAUAGUACGGAAUAACUGAGGGAAACUUUGGCUAAUACCGUAUACGCCGGGGGAAAGAUUUAUCGCUAUUGGAUGAGCCCGCGUCUGAUUAGGUAGUUGGUGAGGUAACGGCUCACCAAGCCGACGAUCAGUAGCUGGUCUGAGAGGAUGAUCAGCCACACUGGGACUGAGACACGGCCCAGACUCCUACGGGAGGCAGCAGUGGGGAAUAUUGGACAAUGGGCGAAAGCCUGAUCCAGCCAUGCCGCGUGAGUGAAGAAGGCCUUCGGGUUGUAAAGCUCUUUCGACGGGGACGAUGAUGACGGUACCCGUAUAAGAAGCCCCGGCAAACUUCGUGCCAGCAGCCGCGGUAAUACGAAGGGGGCUAGCGUUGUUCGGAAUUACUGGGCGUAAAGCGAACGUAGGCGGUGUUCCAUGUCAGAGGUGAAAGCCUGGGGCUCAACUCCAGAAUUGCCUUUGAAACGGGAACGCUUGAGUCCGAGAGAGGAUGGCGGAAUUCCUAGUGUAGAGGUGAAAUUCGUAGAUAUUAGGAAGAACACCGGUGGCGAAGGCGGCCAUCUGGCUCGGUAC